rnacentral:rRNA from 1 species
GGAGUGGCAGACGGGUGAGUAACGCGUGGGAAUCUACCCAACCCUGCGGAAUAGCUCUGGGAAACUGGAAUUAAUACCGCAUACGCCCUACGGGGGAAAGAUUUAUCGGGGAUGGAUGAGCCCGCGUUGGAUUAGCUAGUUGGUGGGGUAAAGGCCUACCAAGGCGACGAUCCAUAGCUGGUCUGAGAGGAUGAUCAGCCACAUUGGGACUGAGACACGGCCCAAACUCCUACGGGAGGCAGCAGUGGGGAAUAUUGGACAAUGGGCGCAAGCCUGAUCCAGCCAUGCCGCGUGAGUGAUGAAGGCCUUAGGGUUGUAAAGCUCUUUCACCGGUGAAGAUAAUGACGGUAACCGGAGAAGAAGCCCCGGCUAACUUCGUGCCAGCAGCCGCGGUAAUACGAAGGGGGCUAGCGUUGUUCGGAAUUACUGGGCGUAAAGCGCACGUAGGCGGAUAUUUAAGUCAGGGGUGAAAUCCCAGAGCUCAACUCUGGAACUGCCUUUG